GUGGGGAAUCUUAGACAAUGGGGGAAACCCUGAUCUAGCCAUGCCGCGUGAGCGAUGAAGGCCUUAGGGUUGUAAAGCUCUUUCAGCUGGGAAGAUAAUGACGGUACCAGCAGAAGAAGCCCCGGCUAACUCCGUGCCAGCAGCCGCGGUAAUACGGAGGGGGCUAGCGUUGUUCGGAAUUACUGGGCGUAAAGCGCGCGUAGGCGGACCAGAAAGUUGGAGGUGAAAUCCCAGGGCUCAACCUUGGAACUGCCUUCAAAACUCCUGGUAUGGAGUUCGAGAGAGGUGAGUGGAAUUCCGAGUGUAGAGGUGAAAUUCGUAGAUAUUCGGAGGAACACCAGUGGCGAAGGCGGCUCACUGGCUCGAUACUGACGCUGAGGUGCGAAAGCGUGGGGAGCAAACAGGAUUAGAUACCCCAGUAGUCC
rnacentral:rRNA from 1 species